rnacentral:rRNA from 1 species
CACGCUGUAAACGAUGAUGACUAACUAUGGCCGUGAGGCCGUGGUGAAGCUAACGCAUUAAGUCAUCCGCCUGGGAAGUACGGUCGCAAGACUGAAACUUAAAGGAAUUGACGGGACCCCGCACAAGCAGUGGAGCAUGUGGUUUAAUUCGACGCUACGCGAGAAACCUUACCAGGGUUUGACAUGGUGGAUAAUACCAUAGAAAUAUGGGGAUAAUACCCACACACAGGUGG